rnacentral:tRNA from 1 species
GGCGGUGUAGCUUAGUUGGCUAGAGCGUCCGGUUCAUACCCGGAAGGGCGGCGGUUCGAGUCCACUCGCCGCUACCA